rfam:Asian citrus Psyllid, Diaphorina citri - Florida Strain, whole genome shotgun sequence.
GUUUUCUACCUCUAUUUCAGGCCCGUCGGAGUUUGGGGUAAAAUCGUCGGCUCCUUAUGUGCCAUUGCCGGUGUGCUUACCAUCGCCCUUCCCGUGCCUGUCAUAGUCUCCAAC